rnacentral:lncRNA from 1 species
GAAGAGAGAGAUGAGUGGGGGAGAGUCCGAGAGAGAAAGAAAAGGUGAGAUAGAGAAAAGAAGUUGACUUUUCAACUGUUUGGGACUACAUUGACAUUAGGUUGAUAAUAUUAGGGACUAAAUUGAUAUCUAAGUGGCGCUUAAUGUGACAACUCAGCAUUUUCGUUAACGUCCAUCAACGUUUUUUAACCCAGGGACUAACGUGAAGGGGAUUUGCCACUUCCAGGGACCGUG